GUCGGUAAGGUGAUAUGAACCGUUGUAACCGGCGAUUUCCGAAUGGGGAAACCCAGUGUGAUUCGUCACACUAUCAUUAACUGAAUCCAUAGGUUAAUGAGGCGAACCGGGGGAACUGAAACAUCUAAGUACCCCGAGGAAAAGAAAUCAACCGAGAUUCCCCCAGUAGCGGCGAGCGAACGGGGAGCAGCCCAGAGCCUGAAUCAGUGUGUGUGUUAGUGGAAGCGUCUGGAAAGGCGCGCGAUACAGGGUGACAGCCCCGUACACAAAAAUGCACAUAUUGUGAGCUCGAUGAGUAGGGCGGGACACGUGGUAUCCUGUCUGAAUAUGGGGGGCCCAUCCUCCAAGGCUAAAUAC
rnacentral:rRNA from 1 species